UACGUAGGUCCCGAGCGUUGUCCGGAUUUAUUGGGCGUAAAGCGAGCGCAGGUGGUUUAUUAAGUCUGGUGUAAAAGGCAGUGGCUCAACCAUUGUAUGCAUUGGAAACUGGUAGACUUGAGUGCAGGAGAGGAGAGUGGAAUUCCAUGUGUAGCGGUGAAAUGCGUAGAUAUUAGGAGGAACACCAGUGGCGAAGGCGGCCUGCUGGGCUUUAACUGACGCUGAGGCUCGAAAGCGUGGGGAGCAAACAGG
rnacentral:rRNA from 1 species